CAGGGAAUCUUGCGCAAUGGACGAAAGUCUGACGCAGCGAUGCCGCGUGGGGGAUGACGGCCUUCGGGUUGUAAACCCCUUUCAGGAGGGACGAAAUUGACGGUACCUCCAGAAGAAGCCCCGGCCAACUACGUGCCAGCAGCCGCGGUAAUACGUAGGGGGCGAGCGUUGUCCGGAAUUAUUGGGCGUAAAGAGCUCGUAGGCGGCUUGGUAAGUCGGCCGUGAAAACCAAAGGCUCAACCUUUGGAUGUCGGUCGAUACUGCCAUGGCUAGAGUCCGGUAGAGGAGAGUGGAAUUCCCGGUGUAGCGGUGAAAUGCGCAGAUAUCGGGAGGAACACCAGUAGCGAAGGCGGCUCUCUGGGCCGGAACUGACGCUGAGGAGCGAAAGCGUGGGUAGCAAACA
rnacentral:rRNA from 1 species